rnacentral:rRNA from 1 species
UCCCAGAGACUUAUCAGAGAUGCAUUGGUGCCUUCGGGACUCUGAGACAGGUGCUGCAUGGCUGUCGUCAGCUCGUGUUGUGAAAUGUUGGGUUAAGUCCCGCAACGAGCGCAACCCUUAUCCUUUGUUGCCAGCGGUCCGGCCGGGAACUCAAAGGAGACUGCCAGUGAUAAACUGGAGGAAGGUGGGGAUGACGUCAAGUCAUCAUGGCCCUUACGAGUAGGGCUACACACGUGCUACAAUGGCGCAUACAAAGAGAAGCGACCUCGCGAGAGCAAGCGGACCUCAUAAAGUGCGUCGUAGUCCGGAUUGGAGUCUGCAACUCGACUCCAUGAAGUCGGAAUCGCUAGUAAUCGUGGAUCAGAAUGCCACGGUGAAUACGUUCCCGGGUCUUGUUACACACCGA